GACGAACGCUGGCGGCGUGCCAACACGUGCAAGUCGAGCGAUGAAAUCCCUUCGGGGAUGGAUUAGCGGCGGACGGGUGAGUAACACGUGGGUAACCUGCCUCAAAGUGGGGGAUAGCCUUCCGAAAGGAAGAUUAAUACCGCAUAAUAUUAGAUUUUCGCAUGAAGAGCUAAUUAAAGAAGCAAUUCGCUUUGAGAUGGACCCGCGGCGCAUUAGCUAGUUGGUGAGGUAAUGGCUCACCAAGGCGACGAUGCGUAGCCGACCUGAGAGGGUGAUCGGCCACAUUGGAACUGAGACACGGUCCAGACUCCUACGGGAGGCAGCAGUGGGGAAUAUUGCACAAUGGGGGAAACCUUGAUGCAGCAACGCCGCGUGAGUGAUGAAGGUCUUCGGAUUGUAAAGCUCUGUCUUUUGGGACGAUAAUGACGGUACCAAAGGAGGAAGCCACGGCUAACUACGUGCCAGCCGCCGCGGUAACAC
rnacentral:rRNA from 1 species